rnacentral:rRNA from 1 species
GUGAGGAAUAUUGGUCAAUGGACGAGAGUCUGAACCAGCCAAGUCGCGUGAAGGAAGACGGUUCUAUGAAUUGUAAACUUCUUUUGUGCAGGAAUAAAGUGGGUUACGUGUAACCUUUUGUAUGUACUGUACGAAUAAGGAUCGGCUAACCCCGUGCCAGCAGCCGCGGUAAUACGGAGGAUCCGAGCGUUAUCCGGAUUUAUUGGGUUUAAAGGGUGCGUAGGUGGAUUGAUAAGUCAGCGGUGAAAGUUUGCAGCUUAACUGUAAAAUUGCCGUUGAAACUGUCGGUCUGGAGUGCAAAUGAGGGAGGCGGAAUGUGUUGUGUAGCGGUGAAAUGCUUAGAUAUAACACAGAACUCCGAUUGCGAAGGCAGCUUACUGGGAUGCAACUGACACUGAUGCACGAAAGCGUGGGUAUCAAACAGGAUUAGAUACCCUAGUAGUCC